AUACAAUAGAACAGCGCAAAGCAUCGAGAGCACCAGUCUCUCUUGACUGCUCUUGACACUCCAUUGAAUGUACUUUGCAGGGAAUAUUUGUAUCGUGUGCUUACAGAAGAUAAGUUGUCAAAAUCUUAAAAAUGACUGAGGAAAGCAGACGGAAUAAACGCAAGUCGCGAAAACGACCUGAUUGUGGCAGCGUUGUUUCGCUUCCUGAUAGAAUUUUCGAAGGAUUCAAAUACCGUUUUGGCAAAACGCUGAAAGAUGGAACUCGGUAGACGGCUGUAUACAUACCCACAAUUGUUUUUCAUUUCUUAGAAUUGAGAAAAACAAAGAAAAAAUAUAAAAAGAAAUAAUAUACUUAAUCAAGUACACUCUAUAAGUCUAAUUAUUUUUCAUUAUGUCAAUAAACUAUAAAUAUUGUUAUAAAUAAAAAAAUGA